rnacentral:rRNA from 1 species
UACGGGGGAGCAAGCGUUGUUCGGAUUUACUGGGCGUAAAGGGCGCGUAGGCGGUCAGCACAAGUCAGUUGUGAAAUCUCCGGGCUUAACCCGGAAAGGUCAACUGAUACUGUGCGACUAGAGUGCGGAAGGGGCAACUGGAAUUCUCGGUGUAGCGGUGAAAUGCGUAGAUAUCGAGAGGAACACCUGCGGCGAAGGCGGGUUGCUGGGCCGACACUGACGCUGAUGCGCGAAAGCCAGGGGAGCGAACGGG